rnacentral:rRNA from 1 species
GAUGAACGCUGGCGGUGUGCCUAAUACAUGCAAGUCGAGCGAGCGCUUCGGCGCUAGCGGCGAACGGGUGAGUAACACGUUGGUAAUCUACCUUUCAGUUGGGGAUACCCAGGCGAAAGCUUGGCUAAUACCGUAAUACGUAUUAAUCUGUGAUGGUUAAUAUAAAGGACCGUUUGGUUCGCUGAUUGAUGAGCCUGCGUCUGAUUAGCUAGUUGGUGAGAUAAUAGCCCACCAAGGCGAGGAUCAGUAGCCGACCUGAGAGGGUGAUCGGCCACAAUGGGACUGAGACACGGCCCAUACUCCUACGGGAGGCAGCAGUAGGGAGUCUUCGACAAUGGGGGAAACCCUGAUCGAGCAACACCGCGUGAACGAUGAAGGUCUUCGGGAUUGUAAAGUUCUGUGGUAAGGGAUAAAUGACAGGGAGUAGGGAAAUGAUUCCUGUUUGAUAGUACCUUACUAGAAAAGCAAACGACUAAACUUCGUGCCAGCAGCCGCAGUAA